UAUACCACAUGGGUAGAUGUU
rnacentral:piRNA from 1 species